UAUUUAUUUUCUUGGGAUUCCAAGCAUACAGUAAUACGGUACAGAAUUCGGCUAAAUAUUUAGGUUGCAAGUGAGAAAUAAAUAUAGACACAGAGAUACAAAUUAAUAAACUAACCUUUCACUUGAAACAGUAUUUCUAUCUUUCAUUACGGAUAUUAUAAAAGAAUCUCACCUGCCGACUGUCUUCUUGACCGUGUCAUGA
rnacentral:lncRNA from 1 species